GAAUAAAUUUUAAAUAAAGAAAUAGUUAAGAUUUCAUUAAUUAUAGAAUAUUAAGUAUAGUUUAGGUGUGAAUUAAUCUUCCAAUAUAUAAAUUUAAUAAUAAUAACUUAUUUAAUGUAUCUUUAUAUUAAAAUUAUCUUUUCUAUAAUUAAUUAGAAAAUUAAUAAUGUUAAAAUUAGUAAUUUUAAUAUUUUAAAUUAAGGAACUCGGCAAAUUAUUAUUCAACUGUUUAUCAAAAACAUAGUCUUAUGUACUCCAUAUAAGGUGAAACCUGCCCAUUGAUUUUUAUGAAUUUAACGGCCGCAGUACCUUGACUGUGCUAAGGUAGCAUAAUAAAUUGACUCUUAAUUGGGGCCUUGAAUGAAUGGAUUUAUGAAUAAUUUCUGUCUUAAUAUAAUUAAAAUUAAAUUACUUAAAAGGUGAAAAUUCCUUUAAAUUUAUAUAAUAGACGAGAAGACCCUAGGAGUUUUAUUUUUGUUGGGGCGACAGUAUAACAUUAUAACUUAUAUAUUUAUAAUUAUUAUUAAACGAAUUAUUUUAAUAGUAAAGAAACUACCCUAGGGAUAACAGCAUAAUUUUUAAAAAGUUUGUGACCUCGAUGUUGGACUAGGAACUUUUAAUAUUAACAAUAUUAAUUGGUAGUUCUGUUCGA
rnacentral:rRNA from 1 species